UUAGCAGCAAAUCAUGCUCUCCAAAAUGCACCAUUUGUUCCACGAGUUAUAGAAGGAUUUCAUGGCAAGUGACCAUGUUUGAGAAUUAUAUGAUCCUGGAUGAAGGCUGCAGAGAGAUGUUUAUCUCGUAAUGGCACCAUAUGAUACUGCUCGUUUUGUCUGUAAACCUUUCAUUUAUUUGUAAUUCUGCUUUUGUCAGCUGGAGGGCAAUCAGAGGAGGAAAUAUAGUCCGAACGCCAGGAUUAGGAUUCCCAAAUGGUUAUCACAUCCAGCUCUUUCCCAAAGCUUGAUGAUCUGCAGGGAGAUGGCUUAGACACAGAUCAGUUGUAAGAUAUGUAUAAUAGAGAGUCUAAAUUUCCAUAGAACAAUUAUAUUGUGGUCUAUAGACAUGGCUGCUGGUGGCUCAAGAACUGUUGUUUGGGACCUUCUCCUCUUCUUCCUCAUUGCUACAGUCCUGAGAGAAGAUUUGGUGGUUCCAUCAAAGGUACCUUCUGUUCUCUGCAAGUGUGUAGUGUGUGCAAACUGCUGUUCUGUGCGGUCCACUUGAGAAAUAAAAUCUUGAAACUUUGUGUGUUUCGUAGCUGAAUUUGCUAAAAUGGAGGAUAUCUUUCUAACAUUGUUAGGUAAAUAUAUUUAUGCAAAGAAUUUAAUCCAGGAGGAAAUUAUUACUCACCCGGAAACAGCCAUAACCUCUCCUGUGAUGGAUUAGAAGUCAAAACCUGCCUUUCUUGUGUGCAGAGUUUUUUACUGUGUCAGGAAGCAUUUUCCAUAUGCCCAAUAUGCUGACCAGUACUUGCAUUGAACAAGUGUCCUUAACCCUAGUAAAUGAGCUUCUUCUACGCAGUGACAGAGAUCCAACUGUGCUUGAUGCCUUCACUAUCACAGUGGGUUUACAAGAAUUGAUGUGCAUACAAGGUGAAUUAAAAGAAUUAAAAGGAAUAAAAAGCUAAUUUAACAGUGUGGA
rnacentral:lncRNA from 1 species